rnacentral:rRNA from 1 species
GAGUCGGGCCUGCUCGGUGAAUAAGUUUUUAACAGCUGCGGUAUUUUAACUGUACUAAGGUAGCAUAAUAAUUUGCCUUAUAAUUUGAGGCUAGAAUGAAUGGUUUGACGAAGGUUAAUCUGUCUCCAUCUUAUUUUUUAGAAUUUAAUUUUUAAAGUGAAAAAGCUUAAAUUUUUUAAAGGGACGAGAAGACCCUAAUGAGCUUAUAAUUUUAUUAUUAUUGUUUAAAAUAUUUGAUCAAUAAUAUAUAAAUUUUAAUUGGGGUGAUUGAGGAAUAAGUUGAUUGAAGUAACUUCCUCAAAGUAAAUGUUUAUAGAUAAAGUAACCAAUAUAAUAUUGCUUAUAAUAUAGUUACCAUAGGGAUAACAGCGUAAUUUGUUUAGAGAGUUCUUAUUGAAAAACGAGAUUGCGACCUCGAUGUUGGAUUAAAGUAACCUUAAGGUGCAGAAGCUUUAGUAAGGUAAAUCUGUUCGAUUUUUAAUACUUUACGUGAUCUG